CCCCACUGCAAUUUCUCCAUUUCAUCACUUCUACAUCGCGAAUUUAGUCGAAGAACAUUCUAGGGCUUGUAAAUUGUGCGGACGAUAUCUCCUUCAAUUCUCAACCUUUUCAGAUAUAAACCGUUCCUUUUCGUGCGGUGCAUUCUCGUGGAUUAACUCUUCGCAAUUAUGGAUGUGGUCGAGGAUAACUACGCUUUGAAAUCAAAGUAGGGAUGAUGCUUAGAUACACACUUAGACGUUUAAAACUUUAUUUUUGUUGU
rnacentral:lncRNA from 1 species